rnacentral:rRNA from 1 species
CCUACGGGUGACAGCAGUGGGGAAUAUUGGGCAAUGGAGGAAACUCUGACCCAGCAACGCCGCGUGAAUGAUGAAGGUCUUCGGAUUUGAAAGCUCUUUUCUAAGGGGAGUAGAAAGUGACGGUACCUUAGGAAUAAGUAUCGGCUAACUACGUGCCAGCAGCCGCGGUAAUACGUAGGAGGCGAGCGUUAUCCGGAAUGACUGGGCGUAAAGGGUGCGUAGGGGGUUUGUCAAGUUAGUGGCGAAACUCCAAGGCUCAACCUUGGAACUACUACUAAAACUGUGGGACUUGAGUGCAGGAGGGGCAACCGGAAUUCAUGGUGUAGCGGUGGAAUGCGUAGAUAUUAGGAGGAACACCAGUGGCGAAGGCGGGUUUCUAGACUGUAACUGACACUGAGGCACGAAAGCGUGGGGAGCAAACAGGAUUAGAUACCCCUGUAGUC